rnacentral:ribozyme from 1 species
AAGGUGGAUGUUAUUGAUAAAGUUGAGUAGUCGAAGUGGAGAUACGUUCCAUCGAUAUUUGCCAUGUAAUUUUCCCAUAAUACUGAUAUAAUUUUAUUUUAGAAAAAGUGAUCACGAUCGGUACGAGCAGAACACCCAAAAUGAUAAUAAUACUGAGGCCAU